AUUUUUUCACACUUACACAAAUGCAGAAAUUCAGAUGCCCUGUCCAUCUUCUAAGCAGACUGGAGAGCUGAACUGGGCCAUUCUGUCCUUAAAAAUGGGAACCGUGAUUACUAUUUUCAAAGUUAAAAUUCAGUGCAAGAACAGGAAGAUUUAAUGAACAAUAAUAAUACAGUUUACAAAGAAAUUCUGGCUAAUCUAGUGAUUUUAGUUUUGUGGUAGUUGUAUUUGAUAUAUUUCUCAAAAGGUUAAUUGGCUGUAGUCCUGUGAAUGCACCAAAACAUCAUUUGUUAGGAAAAAAAAAAAGUCUUUUCCUGUAAGAUACUUCUGCUUAGAAAUAGGAAAUCUUCAGAACCAAAUGGCAAAUAAAAAUAUAUCAGCACUUUUUUUCCCAGCACCUCAUGAUUCUUGAAGAAAUGCCUUGAUUUUAGGCGCUUGACUUAUGAAUUUUGAAGGCCUGGCAUGAGCGGCAUAGUUAAAUACUGUUCCCCCUCCUCCACCAGAGAAGUGUAAGUCCAAGACCUUGGAAUGAAAAAGCAAAACCCAGAAACUUCUAUAAAUUUUGGCAAAAUACAUCAAGUAAGCAUUUUCAGUUGUAUAUAUUUCCUUCUUCCUGCCUUCUUUCUUUUCUCAUGAAUAUGAGAUGUGAGGAAAAUGACAUAUCUGAGGUUUCACGCUCUACCUCUCUCCCAAUAAACACACAAUUGUAACAAAAAAAAAAAAACAUCUGUCAUGCUUCCUUACCAAGAGUAUCACAUAAAUAUAAAAAAGAUUGAUACGCUGCAUCAUAUUUCACUUUUGUCUCCCCCAGAUAGGAAUAUGGAGGCAUCAGGAUGCAUAGCAAUGUUUAAGUUUGCUUUGUAACCUGCAGUUUAUUUGCUUAAAUUCAAUUAUAGCCUCAUCUGUAAAACAGAGUGUAGCUCUUGAGAGGGUAGAGAUCAAAAUGUAGCUCACUGAAUGUGUCAGAAGAGCCCAUAUGGCCUUAGGUUGCUUUUAGGACAGAGUCCCUGCCUUCCAAACCCAAAUGAAGGACUCAGUGCUGCCUCUACUUCUUCUGAAGCACACGGCAGCAGUCCCCAUGCCUUCAGUGGGAUGAAAGAAGUCUCCUCCACAUUACUUUACUUGCUGUUUAUGAUCCACAGAGGAUCGUGGAGAAAUGAAAGCCAGGUAACCCACAAUACCCCAGAAACCUUGUCUUUACACAAGGCUUUUUGUCCUCACAUUUUCAACUUUAAUCCCAGUCAUGAGUUUACAAGUGUUGUAGUUGAUGAAUUAGGAACUGGAACAGCUGGAUGGCAAGUUUGCAAGCCAUACAUUAUGACAACUUGGGGCUGAGGAGAUUUGGGCUCAGAUGGGUGAUAAACAGUGGAUUUCUUUAUCCUGCUCGGUUUACUCAAAUAAUGUCUCUCAAGGACGUAUAAUAAUUAGGAACAAGGAAUAAAAAUCGGAUAGCCCCUGGCAGCUAGACUAAGGAACAGAUACAGACAGCGUGUAUGUAGUGAUGCAAGCUCUGCACUAAGCACAGUGGAAAACAGGAUGCCCAGGAGGGAUUACUGCACAACCUCCAAUCUGGGCUGCAGGUGCCACCAGGACUGCAAGCCAAUGGCCGUGUCUUCUCUGGUGUCAAGGCGUCAGGCCUGGCUGCAGCUCAGGGCAGCUGUAAUGAGCAAAGCACAAGACCUCCAAGAGAGCAACAAGCUAACCAGUUCUGAAUGCUCCGCAGCUCACCGGGAGGCAGGAGCACAUUUUAACAUUUUUGCUCGAGAUUCUAUUUUUCCCACAUAUGAGGGCGUUUGCCCAAAGUUAAUUUUUGGACAGCAAAACUUAUGUUCUUCAUUUAUGCAGAAGUUUACAGAAUCUCCCCAGCACGUUUAGGCCAGAUCUGUCUCAGCAGAUUUGAGGCCGUUCUGCUGUUCACAGAUACACUGCUCCUAUUUAUAGAUUUACUGCAACCAUAAAAAUAUUGUUACGGCACAAAGGACACGUUAUUUCAAAAGCAGGCACACCCCAAGGAAAGUCCCUACCGGAUUGUGAACAAUGUUGGGUCUGGAAGACUCUCUGCACUUAUUCUUCAGCUCCUCCAGCCUGCAUUGCAUUCUAGAUGGCACUAAGUUUAGCCUUAAUGCAAAAAGUUUUCUAUAGUUUUACCUAAGCAGCAAAUGAAGCAGCUUCCUGACUUGAGACUUCUUGUUUCUCUUUCAGGCUGCCUUUUUCAGCAGCACGAAGAGGGGAGGAGCACAGGCCAACGCCACUCUCCUUUGUUUCUCCCUUGUGAUGUGCGUUACUGUGGAUUAAACUCACAUUUUAGGAUCCCAAACCAGGGACAAUUCAGCUACCUCUCACUGUAGAUGUGUGCCUUAGAACUGAAAGAAGCAGGAGGCUUGCUUUGUGUACUUAUCUCCUGAAACCUAUGGACACAGCAGUGUCUGUUUUCAAUGGCAGUGGAAAUUCCAGUAUCAGAAGCUUAACUACAAAUCCCAUACUACAUCGUUCGAAUGCUGCCUGUUUUCAGUACAACCUAAUGAUGGCCCAGGAGUGAUAAAGCACAGGUUCUCUGUAGACAAAAACAAAAAGAAGCAAAAAGAAUGGGCCCACGGUAACCUUCUGCCUUUGCCUCCUGCCCUUUGCCAAAGGCAACUGGAGCAAGGGUGGUCUUUGGGCUGCUGUCCCAGAUGGAAUGGGGGAAAGAGAGGCGCUGCCUGUCCUUGUCAGGGAUGGAAAAGGCCCCCACUCCUAUUCUUAUGAACAUCUGUCAUAUU
rnacentral:lncRNA from 1 species